CGCAGCUUACUGCGGAGGACAUUA
rnacentral:rRNA from 1 species